AUGAUGAUGGAGGCCAGGAAGGGUUUGAUGGAGAGGGAGAGGGAUCAGCUCCCAAUCGGCAUGCGGGUCCUGGCCGUCGACGAUGACCCUAUCUGCCUCAAAGUUCUGAUGGUCCUCCUCCGAUGCUGCCAGUAUCAUGGAAGCACAUCUCCUAUCCUUGUUUUGAUUCCAAGCUCUAGGGCCGCGGCCGAGGACCCCAAGGCCCAGCCGCCCCCGUGCGUCCUCGUCACUUACCUCAACGGUGCCGAGGAGGCCUUCGUCGCCGCCGACGGCGCCACUGCGCAGGGCAUGCGCGACCAGAUCCUCGCCUGCGGCCGCCUCCUCGAGACCGAGCAGCUCUUCCGCGAGGCCGGGGAGAAGUGGCCCGUCGUCAUCCCCGAGGAGUAG
rnacentral:rRNA from 1 species